GUCAGCGUUUAAAUUAAGGCGCGUCCUGCACCUGACCCCACGAAGACAAGAAACCAGCGUUCAGAUAUCCGUCCUGGGAUUACAAAAUGAUCGAUUUGAAAUAAUCUCGGUGUUGAUGGGGCCUGCCUGCGGAGGGAUCUGGGAGAGUGGGGAGGCCGCAAGAACGCCAUGUUUGAAAUGGCUGCAUUUGUUAGUUGAGCAGCAUACGAGGAGCGACAGGAACAUGGCGUCUCUGCGGCGGAUUGUUUGGCCGGAAAAUAUGGCGUCUGGAACUAGCAGCAGAUCGAUUAUGGCUAUAUUAAGAAGAUCUUCAAUGAAGCUGAGGAUCGCUUCCGUCAAGCUGAGGAAUCGCUACAAGGUGCCUGGCGGAUCCGCCCAACCCGUCAAAGGUUUGUUAAAUCUGUCAAGAACUGUUCCAAUGGCGGGUCCAGAAGACAUCUCAGGGUAGGAGCUGUUGCGGGUUUUGCUGUGCUGUUCUUGAAGGCCAACGCUCGGCCUCUUGGUUUACUGGUUAGGUUUGAUUCUCUCAAUGAGUUGAGAAGGAUUCUGCUUUAGGGUUAUGUGUGCUGUUUGAAACAGCUGCUGUGGUCAUGUGACCUGUAGAGGUUUAUGCCAUCUGGGAUUUUGGAAAUUCAAGUUCAUAGCUGAAGUUAUUCAGCUUAGAAAACAUUGACAACAUGCCUACAUAUUAGUGAUCAUUUUUACAUACCUUUUUUUAUUUUUUGUAUCUAACAUUUGAAAUUUAAUCAAAUAUUUCAAAGAUAGGGUCCAUACUUUAAUAAUUCAAAAGUCAAACAAAUUUCAUUUACGUUCAAUAAUAUAAAUUCAAGCGUGAAAAUCGUGAUUUUAUUUUGGCUUCAAAACUUGCGGCGUUGCGAUAUUUCAUUUCUUCUGGACGACUCGUGGACUCCUGCAAUUUCAUUUCUUCUGGAGGACGAUGGUCAACAGAUCUGGAGCUGCAGGUCAGAGGUAAUGUAUUCACUAAUCCACCAUCUUGUCUUUGCAGGUUUUCAGCUGAAAUUAACUCCCAUAUUUUUCUUGCAGAGAUGAUGCACUGGAUCGCGUCUUCAAGUGUUUGCAAAUGUUUUUAACAGUUUUUUUUCCUAGAUAAAGCUUCUGGCUGACUUUGUGUUGCAUCUAACUUAUUUUUUUUCUCAUAGAUAAGCCAGUAAAGGAGUUUCUACUGAAACUAAAUCUUUAAUUUCUCCUUUAGAAAUGUUCCUGGAGCAGUUCUUUCUUUUUGUGUUUCUCUCUCUGUCCUUUCAAAUCCCCCGGGGUUAGUGACAGAUGGCCUUUCUUUCACAGCCAACUUCUGGUUCUGCUGGAGGUUUCUUCCUGUUAAAGGGAAGUUUUUCCUCCCCACUGUCACUACAUACAUCCUCAAUAUGAGGCAUUGCUUUAGUUUACUUAAUAUUUAACCAAUUAAAUAAUUGGUACAGUGUUCACAUUUUUUGAUAGUCUUCCUGUUCAAGGGAAGUUCUUCUAAAUUGUCACCACAGCUAUGCUCAAUAUGAGGCUUUGCUUAAGCUUAUGUAACCAUUAGCCAGCGCUUGAUUAUCGGUUUAUUUUUUUUUUUGAUGGUCUUCCUGUUAAAGGGAAAUUUUCCUCCACACACUCACCACAUUGAUCCUAAGUAUGAGACAUUGCCUAAGCUUUCUUGCACAACUUUAAACCAAUUCAAAUUAUUGGUACAGUCUGAACUUUUUUUUUUUUUUGAAAGUCUUCCUGUUAAAAGGAAGCUUUUCCUCUCCACGGUCACCACAUGAAUUCUCAACAAGAGGCAUUGCGUAAGAUUUCAUAACUUUUAACCGGUUUAUUUAUUUUGGAAAGUCUUCCUGUUAAAGGGAAGUUUUUCCUUUCAAUGGUCAUGACAUGCAUGUUCAGUAUUAGAUGUUUCACAAGCUUGUAUAACUUUUAACCAAUUUAAAUCUGUUCAGUGAGAUCUUUUUGGAAAGUCUUCCUGUUAAAAGGAAGUUUUUUGUUUCCACUGUCGCCACAUGGAUCCUCAAUGUGACGAAUGGCUUAAGCUUACUUACUUUACAAAACAAUCUUAAAUAACUGCUACAGUGUGAACUUAAAUGUUUUAAUUUUUUUGUGGGGAAAGUCGUCCUGUUAAAAGGAAGAUUUUCCUUUAAGCUUUCUCCAUAUAAUUCCUCAAUAUGAAGAAUGGCUUAAGCUUGCGUAACUUGAUAAGUGUUUUUUUUUUUUUUCUUUUUGUGGUAACGUCUUCCUGUUAAAGGGAAGGUUUUCCUUUCCACUGUCACCACACGCCUCCUCAGGAUGCCUGUAAUGGAGGAUAAUUUUGAGCUCAUUGUUGCAAAUAUAAGGCCUUGUUAAUACCACAUGGUAAAUGAACUGAGAAGAUGGAGGCUGAUCAGCAGUUUUUGUUGAGAUGGAGACUCUGAAGUCCAGAUGGGGUUAGGCUGGUUGGAAAUAUGGAUGUGAACAAGGCUGCUAGGGCACUGGAUUGUGAACCCAGUGCCAGGAAAUGUGGUUUGCUCCUUCCUGUAGCCACUCCUUAAGGCUUGAAGUUGUGGGAUAAGUUUAUGGACAUUGGGAGCAAACGUACAACAAAGUCAUCGGACGAGUUUAUGGGUAUUGGUAGCAAACAUGUACAGCAAAGUCAUCGGACGAGUUUAUGGGUAUUGGUAGCAAACAUGUACAGCAAAGUCAUCGGACGAGUUCAUGGACACUGGUAGCAAACGUACAACAAAGUCAUCGGACGAGUUCAUGGACACUGGUAGCAAACGUGUACAACAAAGUCAUCGGACGAGUUCAUGGACACUGGUAGCAAACGUGUACAACAAAGUCAUCGGACGAGUUCAUGGACACUGGUAGCAAACGUACAACAAAGUCAUCGGACGAGUUCAUGGACACUGGUAGCAAAUGUGUACAACAAAGUCAUCGAAUAAGUUCAUGGACACUGGUAGCAAAUGUGUACAACAAAGUCAUCAGACGAGUUCAUGGACACUGGUAGCAAAUGUGUACAACAAAGUCAUCGAAUAAGUUCAUGGACACUGGUAGCAAAUGUGUACAACAAAGUCAUCAGACGAGUUCAUGGACACUGGUAGCAAAUGUGUACAACAAAGUCAUCGGACGAGUUCAUGGACACUGGUAGCAAACGUACAACAAAGUCAUCGAAUGAGUUCAAGGAAUUUGGUAACAAAGGUAGGUAUUUUGGUCUUAGGUACAACAACCAGAACUUUCAUUUGUUCAACGCAGGUAGAAAAAACAUGGUAGGCUAUAUGAAAGUUCAAGACCAGAACGGGUCUUGAAUUCUUUGGUUUGUGAUGAAAUGUGUAACGAACCCAUAGGGAAAAGUGUUUCAGACAGGUUUCAGGGUUUGACCUGAAACCCAGGCCCGUCCUGUUCUUCAGAAAUCCUCCUGGAUUCUGAUUUCGCACUACAACCCUCCAUUGACAGACGGAAAGGUCCUUAGCCACCCCACUGAUGGAUGACGUCAGUGACUUCACCAUCACCCUCAACAGUCUUCCUCAAGUGCUGCAGGAAUCCUCUUGGAUCAUCUUAUCAUCUCUGAUUUUGCCCUUCAAUGAUCCUCCAUUGACGGAUGGAAAAGCCCUUCACAACCCUGCUGAUGGAUGACCUUAGUGACCUCUGGGAGCUUACCACGGGGCUCAGCAAGUUUUCUGGAGGAAACCCAGGAAGUGUUCUCAGGUGAACAUGAAUCUUUCUGGAUCAUCUCGUUUCAUCUCUGAUUUCACCCUUCAUCGACCCUCCAUUGACAGGCGGAAAAGGCCUUCACCAUCAUACCAUCAGGCCCAGCAGUCUUCAAGGAUCCUCCAGGAUUAUCUACUCAUCCUUCAUCGCUCCUUCAUCGGUGAUGGAUGGACUUUUUUUUGUUUUUUUUUGAGACAAUUAUGUACAGAGACUUUAUAAUUUUUUUUUAUAUUUUGGGUAUUUAAAAUGUCUUAAUGCUAUUCUGGUCUAACUCUAUAUCCUGCUGUAUGUUUGGGUUACUGGAGGUUUUCUAUUCUCUCCAUAGAAGCUACACCUGGUCCGGUGUUCUGAUUGGCUGUGGUUUC